CUGAGAGAGACCAGCUACAGACCAGUUACAACAACCUGGCUAAACAGAUAGAACAGCUACAGACUGAGAGAGAUUUUCUUAGGGGGUGGCUUACCAAUUGCAAACAAACCUGUCCUGCUGGCUGGCAGAAGUUUGAAUCCAGCUGGUACUUCCUGUCUACUGAGACUAAAACCUGGAAGGAGAGCAGAGAGGAUUGUCUGGAGAGAGGAGCAGACCUGGUGAUCAUAAACAGUGAUAAGGAACAGAAAUUUCUCUUUGACCUCAAGAGGAGAGUCUGGAUUGGUCUGACCGAUUCUGUUAAUGAGGGGACCUGGAAAUGGGUGGACGGCACCCCACUGACCACAGGGUGAGAGAUGAUAACUAAUCUGUCAAUAAGGCUCCAUUAAAUUUUUUUCAAUAGAGGUCAUUGAUGAUACCAGUCAACACAAUUACAGUGCCUUGCGAAAGUAUUCGGCCCCCUUGAACUUUGCGACCUUUUGCCACAUUUCAGGCUUCAAAC